GCGUCGGUGGUUCAGUGGUAGACUACUCGCCUGCCACGCGGGUGGCCCAGGUUCGAUUCCCGGCCGACGCA
rnacentral:tRNA from 1 species